GGCAGUUAGUUUAAACAAAAUAAAUGAUUUCAACUCAUUAGAUAAUGAGAUGAACCAUGACUACCA
rnacentral:tRNA from 1 species